UGUCACCGUAGGCAAUGUGCUAUCAGGGGGUUAUUUUCGAAACACCUCAAAUGACUAUUUCAGUUGUCCACACUUGCUGUGGACACAGGAUGUUAGGGAGGCUGUUUCUUCUGCCGGACUAGUUUUAGGAACUUAUGGUAACUUCAAACCUAAAAGGAAAGAACGAUCGUUUGCAUUCAAGGUCUAAAGAAUUGGAAUUUCCGGGUCUUUAUUGUAUUUUAUCCUUUUGACUCAAAGCUCAGAUUCAACUCCUUACUCCGAUCCAAACCAAACAAGAAACAACUCCCUAAGAUUGGUGUUUCACUUUAAAGGCUUAAUCAGAUUCAGGUUCAGUUUUCUUGGCUAGACUGCUCAUAUGGAGUUCUCCCAUCAGGAGGCACAUAAUGUCUGGUUGUCUCUCAAUGACUGUGAGAACUACUAGAGCCUGGACCAUUCAGCACUAUUCCUGUGUUCAUCGAUAGUUAUUGGGGACAAACUUAGGAUGAUUAAGAUAAGCCAAGAAGACACUGAGAGGCAGACUUAAAGAAAAAGAUAUUUGGGAAAACUGCCCUCAAAUGCUGAGAGUCCCCUUCUUUCUCCGCUUGCUCAUCUUCACUCAUUUUUUUAAGUGCUCUUCCUCCUUGCCUCAAAAUCUUUGGCACAGUAGCUUUGAAGAAGUGGAAGAACAGUGAGCUUGAGUUCUAGUCUACACUCUCACAUCCUGGCUGUGUAAACUUGGAUUCCACAUACAGGGGGAGACCUUCAAGAUGGCAGAGGAGUAAGAAGUGGAGAUCACCUUCCUCCCCACAAAUACAUCAGAAAUACAUCUACAUGUGGAACAACUCCUACAGAACACCUACUGAACACUGGCAGAAGACCUCAGACUUCCCAAAAGGCAAGAAACUCCCCACAUAUGUGGGUAGGGCAAAAGAAAAAAGAAAAAACAGAGACAAAAGAAUAGGGAUGGGACCUGCACCUCUGGGAGGGAGCUGUGAAGGAGGAAAAACUUCCACACAUUAGGGAGCCCCUUCACUGGCAGAGAUGGGGGGGGAAGCUUUGGAGCCAUGGAGGAGAGUGCAGCAACAGGGGUGCAGAGAGCAAAGCAGAGAGGUUCCUGCACAGAGGAUUGGUGCCAACCAGCACUCACCAGCCUGAGAGGCUUGUCUGCUCACCUGCCGGCAUGGUUGGGGGCUGGGACCUGAGGCUCUGGCUUCUUUGGAGUUGAGAUCCCAGGGAGAGGACUGCAGUUGGCUGCGUGAACACAGCCUGAAGGGGGCUAGUGCACCACAGCUAGCUGGGAGGGAGUCUGGGGAAAAGUAUGGACCUGCCUAAGAGGCAAGAGACCAUUGUUUCAGGGUGCGUGAGGAUAGGGGAUUCAGAGCACCACCUAAAUGAGCUCCAGAGAUGGGCGUGAGCCGCGGCUAUCAGCGCGGACACGAGAGACGGGCAUGAAAUGCUAAGGCUGUUGCUGCAGCCACCAAGAAUCCUGUGUGCAAGCACAGUUCACUUUUCACACCUCCCCUCCCAGGAGCCUGUGCAGCCCACCGCUGCCAGGGUCCUGUGAUCCGGGGGCAACAUCCCUGGGAGGACACACGGAGCACCUCAGGCUCUUGUAAUGUCACACGGGCCUCUGCAGCUGCAGGCUCAUCCUGCAUUCCGUACCCCUCCCUCCCCCCCAGCCUGAGUGAGCCAGAGCCCCCUAAUCAGCUGCUUCCUUAACCCCGUCCUGUCUGAGCGAAGAGCAGACUCCCUCAGGAGACCUAUAUGCAGAGGUGGGGCCAAAUCCAAAGCUGAACCCCAGGAACUGUGCGAACAAAGAAAAGAAAGGGAAAUCUCUCACAGCAGCCUCAGGAGCAGUGGAUUAAAUGUCCACAAUCAACUUCAUCUACCCUGCAUCUCUGGAAUACCUGAAUAGACAGUGAAUCAUCCCAAAAUUGAGGUGGUGAACUUUGGGAGCAAUGAUAUAUAAAUUUUUUUCCCUUUUCUCUU